rnacentral:rRNA from 1 species
UACGUAGGGAGCGAGCGUUGUCCGGAAUUACUGGGCGUAAAGGGUGCGUAGGCGGCUUAGCAAGUCAGAUGUGAAAUCCCCGGGCUUAACUCGGGGGGUGCAUUUGAAACUGCUUAGCUUGAGUGCAGGAGAGGAAAGCGGAAUUCCUAGUGUAGCGGUGAAAUGCGUAGAUAUUAGGAAGAACACCAGUGGCGAAGGCGGCUUUCUGGACUGUAACUGACGCUGAGGCACGAAAGCGUGGGGAGCAAAC